AAUAAGAAGCAAUAAUUGCAUUUAGUUUCGACCUAAAAGCCAGGUUAAAAUAACCCUUAUUU
rnacentral:tRNA from 1 species